rnacentral:rRNA from 1 species
CAGCAGCCGCGGUAAUACGUAGGGUGCAAGCGUUGUCCGGAAUCAUUGGGCGUAAAGCGCGCGUAGGUGGCCAUUUAAGUCCGCUGUGAAAGUCAAAGGCUCAACCUUUGAAAGCCGGUGGAUACUGGAUGGCUAGAGUACGGAAGAGGCGAGUGGAAUUCCUGGUGUAGCGGUGGAAUGCGCAGAUAUCAGGAGGAACACUAAUAGCGAAGGCAGCUCGCUGGGACGUUACUGACACUGAGGCGCGAAAGCGUGGGGAGCGAACAGGAUUAGAUACCCCUGUAGUCCCUGUCUCUUAUAC